UCUGAAUAUGGGGGGACCAUCCUCCAAGGCUAAAUACUACUGACUGACCGAUAGUGAACCAGUACCGUGAGGGAAAGGCGAAAAGAACCCCUGUGAGGGGAGUGAAAUAGAACCUGAAACCGUGUACGUACAAGCAGUAGGAGCAGGCUUUGUCCUGUGACUGCGUACCUUUUGUAUAAUGGGUCAGCGACUUAUAUUCAGUGGCAAGGUUAACCAUCUAGGGGAGCCGUAGGGAAACCGAGUCUUAACUGGGCGUUCAGUCUCUGGAUAUAGACCCGAAACCAGGUGAUCUAGCCAUGGGCAGGUUGAAGGUUGAGUAACAUCAACUGGAGGACCGAACCGACUAAUGUUGAAAAAUUAGCGGAUGACUUGUGGCUAGGGGUGAAAGGCCAAUCAAACCUGGAGAUAGCUGGUUCUCCCCGAAAGCUAUUUAGGUAGCGCCUCGGACGAAUACUACUGGGGGUAGAGCACUGUUAAGGCUAGGGGGUCAUCCCGACUUACCAACCCUUUGCAAACUCCGAAUACCAGUAAGUACUAUCCGGGAGACACACGGCGGGUGCUAACGUCCGUCGUGGAGAGGGAAACAACCCAGACCGCCAGCUAAGGUCCCAAAUUACUACUAAGUGGGAAACGAUGUGGGAAGGCUCAGACAGCCAGGAUGUUGGCUUAGAAGCAGCCAUCAUUUAAAGAAAGCGUAAUAGCUCACUGGUCGAGUCGGCCUGCGCGGAAGAUGUAACGGGGCUAAGUAGUAAACCGAAGCUGCGGCAAUGUGCUUUUGCACAUUGGGUAGGGGAGCGUUCUGUAAGCGGUUGAAGGUGUGUGGUAACGCAUGCUGGACGUAUCAGAAGUGCGAAUGCUGACAUGAGUAACGAUAAAGGGGGUGAAAAACCUCCUCGCCGGAAGACCAAGGGUUCCUGUCCAACGUUAAUCGGGGCAGGGUAAGUCGACCCCUAAGGCGAGGCCGAAAGGCGUAGUCGAUGGGAAACGGGUUAAUAUUCCCGUACUUCUUACAAUUGCGA
rnacentral:rRNA from 1 species